rnacentral:rRNA from 1 species
GAUGAACGCUGGCGGCGUGCCUAAUACAUGCAAGUCGAGCGAACGGACGAGAAGCUUGCUUCUCUGAUGUUAGCGGCGGACGGGUGAGUAACACGUGGAUAACCUACCUAUAAGACUGGGGUAACUUCGGGAAACCGGAGCUAAUACCGGAUAAUAUUUUGAACCGCAUGGUUCAAAAGUGAAAGACGGUCUUGCUGUCACUUAUAGACGGAUCCGCGCUGCAUUAGCUAGUUGGUAAGGUAACGGCUUACCAAGGCAACGAUGCAUAGCCGACCUGAGAGGGUGAUCGGCCACACUGGAACUGAGACACGGUCCAGACUCCUACGGGAGGCAGCAGUAGGGAAUCUUCCGCAAUGGGCGAAAGCCUGACGGAGCAACGCCGCGUGAGUGAUGAAGGUCUUCGGAUCGUAAAACUCUGUUAUUAGGGAAGAACAUAUGUGUAAGUAACUGUGCACAUCUUGACGGUACCUAAUCAGAAAGCCACGGCUAACUACGUG